AUUUUUCCAGGAAAAAUGAUUAAUACAAAAUGCAUAAUUAGAAAUUUCCAUGGUAAUCUCAACUUCGGUUAACCCAAAUAAAUAUCUUUCUCAAAUGUGAGCAAACCCCAACAAUUGAGGUGUUUUUCCCUUACAAGCGCCUACUUCAAUUUUUUCAUUGGGGUAUUGAAGUAUAUGAAACUCAAAAAAUUUUAACUCUCAUUGUAUUCAUGCAUCGAUACAAAGGCACACAAGUGCGGGAUGCUUCAUGCACUGGGUCACUCUUUAUUGCAUUCAUGCAUUUAUGUUUCCUAUAAGCGGCUAUAGAAUAAAGUACUUCAGCCACAGACAGAGAAACGAAAUUAAAGAGCAGAUGAACAAUGGAUAUUAGUAAAAUUGCUAAACAUGUGAUUUUCUUCUGUGCUGUAUAUGAGGCAAUUAAGUGUCUAAUUAUUCAGUAAUCAGUAGUAGCUAGAAACCAUGAGUUGUAACUUGUAAGCAGUGUAGUCAUGUAACCAGAGAAAUUACACUUGGUGGUGCUGUCAGACUUUGACCAUAGUUAGUGUCCGUGGUUAUUGUUUGAACUCCUCAAAUUCCAUACCUGCAAUCGCUCUAAAAUCAUAGAUCAUGCAUUUUAAAGGAUUCAUUUGAAAAUUGCCUCAAAUGAUGGGUAUUUUGCAAUUCUUUCAAACUUUAGACAGUAAGAAGUGUAUUUUAUGGUAUACCUCUAGUGCCUACUGGCAAAGGUGUGGAUAUUGUACUUGGAACGCCUAUUUUCCGUUGGC
rnacentral:misc_RNA from 1 species